rnacentral:rRNA from 1 species
AGUCACUGACAUUAGACUACCCCCGUAGUCCCAGCCGUAAACUAUGCGCGUUAGGUGUACUGGUGACCACGAGUCGACCGGGGUGCCGAAGGGAACCGUGAAACGUGCCGCCUGGGAAGUACGGUCGCAAGGCUGAAACUUAAAGGAAUUGGCGGGGAGCACCACAACGGGUGGAGCCUGCGGUUUAAUUGGACUCAGCGCCGGAAAUCUCACCGGAUAGGACAGACAUAUGAUAGUCGGGCUGAAGACUCUACUUGAUGAUCUG